UCUAACACCAGCAAUAUUUACACACCGAAGGCACGAGUAUGGCCAUUUGGGGGGCUGUGAUAUUGUUAUUGAGGAGUUUUCCAGAGAUAACUAGACAAGAGCUAGAAAACAAUGGAAGGAACUUUAGAAGCUCACAGGAUAAUCCGGCAUUGUUCACCCUGUGUAAAGGCUCUAUGGUGGAUCCAUCAGGCUAUCAGUCAGGUCUUUGUUGAGCUCCUUGUGUGGAAAGGGAAGAUCUCAGUUUCAAUGGAGCAUUGGAUCUAUACAAGUCAAGAGGCAAAAAGUGGGCUUUGCUGAAGACUGAUGCUAAAGCUGAAUUCUGGACAAUGAGUAGCAAUGAGCCAUGUAAAGAAAAGGAAGUGAGUAGGUCCUGAGGCAAAACAGAGUUUGCCACGUUUGAGGAACUGUGAGAGAACUGUUGUUCCCAGUGGGAGAACACUAAGAAUGAAAUUGGCUCAAAAUGAGGCUGGAGAUGUAGGCUUAGAUUACAUAGGUUGGCCAGCAUAGGAAUUUUAGAUUUCAUUUUAAAAAUCAAUGGGGAAUCAUUAAAUUGCUUUAAGUUAGAGAGGAGGAAUAGCUGAUGAAGAACUGUGACGCAAAUAAACCUCUUUUCUUUAUAAGAUACACAGCCUCCGGUAUUCCUUUAUAGCAACACUAAAUGGACUAAGAAGGGAACUUCCCACCUUGCUAAAGAAUAUUUACAAAAAAUUACUGCAGUUAACAGCAUACUUAAUGGGAGGAACAAGAUAAGAACUUCUACAGGAGAGAAGGAUGCAUGAGGCCAGACAGAAAAUUUUGCUGUUGAGAGGCACCAGCUUUCCCAGUGACUACUCUGGUGGACCCUGACAAGAGUAAGUCUGUAGUUUCAGAAACUCCACACUCUCUUCUGUUUGCCAUCUUUGUGAAUCUGUUCACGAGGAGACGGUUUUGGAGAUUUUUUUUUUCAUGACUAGAUUCUGAGUAUUCUCUCAUCUUAAGGACAGUCCUGUCCUUAAAUCCACACAUCUGGAAAGCAGAAUUAGCUCCCAAGGAUGCUUGAUGAGGAAAUAUGGAAACACAGGAGACCAUUUCACCAAGGCCAAAGCAGCUCCAGUUCCUCUUUUGUGGUCAUAGAGAGGAAGUCCGGAGUCAUAGAAAUUAUCCUGGCUUAGAAUCAGAGAGACUUGGAUUCAAAUUUUGGCUCAGAAACAAGUUAUCUAACCAUUUUGGCUUUGCAUUUAACAUUUGUAAAAUGGAAAGAACAAUAUCUACCUAAAAGGACUGUUCUGGGUGUUAUACAUAGUUAAUAACUUAUUUAUAUUUAUUACACAUGAAUGUAUUAAUACCAGGUAUUAUGUUAAAUAUUGGGGAUGAAAUUGUGGGCAAAGCAGAUAGGAGUCUUGUUUCAAAAAAGCAUAUGUUCUAGCAUGGGAAAUGUCUUCGUUCAUUUUGUGUUGCUGUAACAGAAUACCUGUGGCUGGGUAAUUUAUAAAGGAAAGAGGU
rnacentral:lncRNA from 1 species